rnacentral:tRNA from 22 species
GGAGGCGUAGCUCAGCCGGUAGAGCACUUGCUUCACACGCAAGGGGUCACAGAUUCGAGUUCUGUCGUCUCCACCA